GGGUGAUUAGCUCAGUUGGUAGAGCAGCUGACUCUUAAUCAGCGGGUCGCAGGUUCGAUCCCUGCAUCACCCACCA
rnacentral:tRNA from 10 species